rnacentral:rRNA from 1 species
UACGUAGGGAGCAAGCGUUGUCCGGAAUCAUUGGGCGUAAAGCGCGCGUAGGCGGCCCUGUAAGUCCGUUGUGAAAGUCAAAGGCUCAACCUUUGAAAGCCGAUGGAUACUGCAGGGCUAGAGUCCGGAAGAGGCGAGUGGAAUUCCUGGUGUAGCGGCGGAAUGCGCAGAUAUCAGGAGGAACACCAAUAGCGAAGGCAGCUCGCUGGGACGGUACUGACGCUGAGACGCGAAAGCGUGGGGAGCGAACAGG